UGCUAAGGACUUUCCACACAAUACCCCUUCUCCCUCUAGUUUAUCUUCAUAAUAGCCUGUAAACUUGGCGGCUGUCGUCAUUCCUGUUUGCUGUCAUUCCUGUUUGACAGAGGAAGAAACUGAGGCUCAGAACUGGGUCUGCUUCUGGAAGGACCAAAACUGGCAAAGGAGGUAAAAUGGGCUUUUUUACUGGAUUACUUGCUGCCCAGCUGUCAAUAAAGACCCCAUCUCCAGAGGUGAAGACAGGGAAUUGUUUGGAUUGUAGAUUGCUCUAUAUUUGUAUAAUGAAUGAUGAAUGCAGCAGAGUCCAGAGUGACCAUGGCCCUGAACUCUCAAGACCAGGCCCACCAAGAAGAGAAGUUACCAAUGGUGACAUCAGAAGAGGAAACAGGAAUCUAUCCUGUAAGGGCAUGGCCACAGCACUGAGAUUCCUAACCAAUCAGGUAAACAGCUUCACUACCAGGAGAGAAGGACUUCAGGAAGCUCUCAGUCAACUCUGCUGUCAGUGGCUAAGGCCCGAGAUGUACACCAGAGAACAGCUGCUUACUGUGCUGCCACGGACCAGUCACAACUGGAUAUGUGCACAGUGUCCAGAAAGUGGAACAAGAUGUGAAGCCACUGGCUCAGGCAUGCAAGGAUGGCAUUGUGCGUGCUGCGGGUGUGUGUGGCCAACAUGUGGUUUCCCGGUGCUGUGGUUUUGCUUUGUCCCUUUAGGAGCUUUAGCUGUGGAUAACAGAAUGUAGGGCGCAUUGGAACCUUUCUGAUUUGCUUGUUACUCUUAUGCAGCAGGAGACAAUUUCCUCCAGGUGAAGGGCUGAUUCUAGCCUUCUCCAUCCUUGAUUGUUUUCUUAUCCCGCUAUAUACAGUAGUCUCCCAAUUCCCUUAUCCAAGGUUAUGCUUUUCACUGUUUCAGUUACCCAUGGUCAACCAUGGUCUGAAAAUAUUAAAUAGAAAAUUCCA